UGAAGUUAAAGGCUGUGGNUUAACCAUAGUACGCUUUGGAAACUGUUUAACUUGAGUGCAGAAGGGGAGAGUGGAAUUCCAUGUGUAGCGGUGAGAUGCGUAGAUAUAUGGAGGAACACCGGUGGCGAAAGCGGCUCUCUGGUCUGUAACUGACGCUGAGGCUNGAAAGCGUGGGGAGCGAACAGGAUUAGAUACCCUGGUAGUNCACGCCGUAAACGAUGAGUGCUAGGUGUUAGGCCCUUUCCGGGGCUUAGUGCCGCAGCUAACGCAUUAAGCACUCCGCCUGGGGAGUACGACCGCAAGGUUGAAACUCAAAGGAAUCGACGGGGGCCCGCACAAGCGGUGGAGCAUGUGGUUUAAUUCGAAGCAACGCGAAGAACCUUACCAGGUCUUGACAUCCCGAUGCCCGCUCUAGAGAUAGAGUUUUACUUCGGUACAUCGGUGACAGGUGGUGCAUGGUUGUCGUCAGCUCGUGUCGUGAGAUGUUGGGUUAAGUCCCGCAACGAGCGCAACCCUUAUUGUUAGUUGCCAUCAUUCAGUUGGGCACUCUAGCGAGACUGCCGGUAAUAAACCGGAGGAAGGUGGGGAUGACGUCAAAUCAUCAUGCCCCUUAUGACCUGGGCUACACACGUGCUACAAUGGCUGGUACAACGAGUCGCAAGUCGGUGACGGCAAGCUAAUCUCUUAAAGCCAGUCUCAGUUCGGGUUGUAGGCUGCAACUCGCCUACAUGAAGUCGGAAUCGCUAGUAAUCGCGGAUCAGCACGCCGCGGUGAAUACGUUCCCGGGCCUUGUACACACCGCCCGUCACACCACGAGAGUUUGUAACACCCGAAGUCGGUGAGGUAACCUUUUAGG
rnacentral:rRNA from 1 species